rnacentral:rRNA from 1 species
UUCUAAAAUCACCUCCCUGAAAGCUAAUCAGGGUCAGACCUGGUUAGUACUUGGAUGGGAGACCACCUAGGAAGACCGAGUGCUAUAGGCG